AGUGUUAGACUAGCCAUGCACGUCUAAGUACAAACUAAAUGAUGGUGAAACUGCAAAUGGCUCAUUACAACGGUUAUGAUGUACCCGGGAGUUCCGAUGGAUAUUUCCAGUAACACUAGAACUAAUACAUGUCCCUGCGUUUAUUAGUUUCGCACAGUCCGUCGCUGAGUCAUGGUAAACAGUUGAUCGACUCGACGUCCCGGAACAGUUUCCGCCCCAUCAGCUUCGAUGGUUGGGUAUUGGCCUACCAUUGCAACAACGGGUAACGAGGAAUUAGGGUUUGAUUUCGGAGAGGGAGCCUGAGAAACGGCUACCACAUCUACGGAUGGCAGCAGGCGCGCAAAUUACCCAAUGCAGACACUGUGAGGUAGUGACGAGAAAUAAUAAAGCGGGACUUCUGUUUCGCUAUUAUAAUGAGGAAUAACCAAAGGUCAUUCCGAUUAGCAACUGAUGGGAAAGUCUGGUGCCAGCAGCCGCGGUAAUACCAGCGUCAGUAGCAU
rnacentral:rRNA from 1 species